rnacentral:lncRNA from 10 species
AGUUUGGCUCAGAAGGGAGAGGUCCUGUGUUGAUCUUCCUGUCCCACUUCUCGCAUUUUCCAGCCUUCCUGUCUUUGCUAGGGCAGCUCCCUCCUGCUAGAAGGUUCUUCUCGAUCAUCUCUUUUCCCAUUAAAAUCUCAUCAUCUUUCAAGACCAGCUCAAGUGCUGCCUCCUCCAAGAAGUCCUCCUGAUCACUCCUGGCAGAAGUCGCCUCCUCUAUCUCUCAGAGCGUAUUCCAUCACAACGUUCCCACCUGGAGAGUGGAAUUCUGUACAUAUGGAUGGAGAAGCACUUGUUAUGCUGGGAGAUGAGACGCUUCACGAGCUACCUGCCUGCUAGAUUGCAUGUUGUCUCCUGACCUCAAGAGCUUGUUUUAUGUGCAGAACACUAGACGUCUGAUGAUGCGAACACCGCUGGAACCCUCAUUCUGUUAGACGGCAGGCCCGAAGAGCACACGCCAAAGUUGGUGGCCUAAUCCUCUUGGCAUCUGUUAUAGUAAAUGCAUUUUCAUGGGAACACAGCCAGGCCCAUUUGCCCAGGUAUCACCCACGGCUGCUUCUGCACUACAACAGCAGAGUUGCACAGCCACAAACCCUAAAAUAUUCACUGUCUGGCCCUUUCCUCAUAUUUACCCGCCCCUGCCCCAAACCCUCCACCACGCGGACCUGAUUCCAUGCUUCUGGCUCCCCAGGAGCGAAGCCGUAGAUGGUGUCUCUUUCACUCCUUAUAAAGAUACAAUUAUACAGGGUAGGGGCCCCUCCCUGUGACCUCACUUAGCUCCCAGCUGACC